UACCGAAUUUUAAUAUAAAAGUAAAACAAAUAAAAAAAAUAGUAUGAGAUACUAUUUUUAUUGGAUUUAGAGAAGUGAAAUAUAAGUCUGGAAUGACUCGUGCUGAAAUCGGAAUGAAAACAGAAAAUUUAAAAUUUUCUGUGCGAAACGGGACUAAUAUUUUAGCAGAAAAUGCACAGUGUAAGAUGUAACAUACCAGAUUUUGGUAUAAAAAUAAAAAUAAAUAAAAAUAGUGUGAGAUACUAUUUUUAUUGGAUUUAUAGAAGUAAAACAUAAGUCAGAAAUGACUUGUACUGAAAUCGGAAUGAAAUCAGAAUAUCUAGAAUUUUCUGUUGAAAACGGGACAGAUAAAUUAGCAGAAAAUGCACAGUCUCAGAAAAUUAUGAAAUUGGAGAAUAAGUCAGAAAUAUUUUUAUGAGGUUAGAUUUAAAGUUUCAUAUUUUUCUGACACCCGUAGAGUGAGAAAUAAAAUCCGACAGCUAUCUGAUAAAGAUUACAGUUCGGUACAGUUUGUAGUGACCAAACGAGGUCGAAACGGAAAACUUAAGAUAUAUU
rnacentral:lncRNA from 1 species